AUUGAACGCUGGCGGCAUGCCUUACACAUGCAAGUCGAACGGUAACAGGUCUUCGGAUGCUGACGAGUGGCGAACGGGUGAGUAAUACAUCGGAACGUGCCCGAUCGUGGGGGAUAACGGAGCGAAAGCUUUGCUAAUACCGCAUACGAUCUACGGAUGAAAGCAGGGGACCGCAAGGCCUUGCGCGGACGGAGCGGCCGAUGGCAGAUUAGGUAGUUGGUGGGAUAAAAGCUUACCAAGCCGACGAUCUGAAGCUGGUCUGAGAGGACGACCAGCCACACUGGGACUGAGACACGGCCCAGACUCCUACGGGAGGCAGCAGUGGGGAAUUUUGGACAAUGGGCGAAAGCCUGAUCCAGCCAUGCCGCGUGCAGGAUGAAGGCCUUCGGGUUGUAAACUGCUUUUGUACGGAACGAAAAGACUCUUUCUAAUAAAGAGGGUCCAUGACGGUACCGUAAGAAUAAGCACCGGCUAACUACGUG
rnacentral:rRNA from 1 species